rnacentral:rRNA from 1 species
AUUGAACGCUGGCGGCAGGCUUAACACAUGCAAGUCGAGCGGAAACGAUGAUAGCUUGCUAUCAGGCGUCGAGCGGCGGACGGGUGAGUAAUACUUAGGAAUCUACCUAGUAGUGGGGGAUAGCACGGGGAAACUCGUAUUAAUACCGCAUACGACCUACGGGAGAAAGGGGGCAGUUUACUGCUCUCGCUAUUAGAUGAGCCUAAGUCGGAUUAGCUAGAUGGUGGGGUAAGGGCCUACCAUGGCGACGAUCUGUAGCUGGUCUGAGAGGAUGAUCAGCCACACCGGGACUGAGACAUGGCCCGGACUCCUACGGGAGGCAGCAGUGGGGAAUAUUGGACAAUGGGGGAAACCCUGAUCCAGCCAUGCCGCGUGUGUGAAGAAGGCCUUUUGGUUGUAAAGCACUUUAAGCAGUGAAGAAGACUCCAUGGUUAAUACCCAUGGACGAUGACAUUAGCUGCAGAAUAAGCACCGGCUAACUCUGUGCCAGCAGCCGCGGUAAUACAGAGGGUGCAAGCGUUAAUCGGAAUUACUGGGCGUAAAGGGAGCGUAGGUGGCUCUAUAAGUCAGAUGUGAAAUCCCCGGGCUUAACCUGGGAACUGUAUCUGAAACUGUAGAGCUAGAGUAUGUGAGAGGAAGGUAGAAUUCCAGGUGUAGCGGUGAAAUGCGUAGAGAUCUGGAGGAAUACCGAUGGCGAAGGCAGCCUUCUGGCAUAAUACUGACACUGAGGCUCGAAAGCGUGGGUAGCAAACAGG